rnacentral:rRNA from 1 species
CACGGGGGGAACGCGAAGAACCUUACCUAAGCUUGACAUCCUUUUGACCGAUGCCUAAUCGCAUCUUUCCCUUCGGGGACAGAAGUGACAGGUGGUGCAUGGUUGUCGUCAGCUCGUGUCGUGAGAUGUUGGGUUAAGUCCCGCAACGAGCGCAACCCUUGCCUUUAGUUGCCAUCAUUAAGUUGGGCACUCUAGAGGGACUGCCAGGGAUAACCUGGAGGAAGGUGGGGAUGACGUCAAAUCAUCAUGCCCCUUAUGCUUAGGGCUACACACGUGCUACAAUGGGUGGUACAGAGGGCAGCCAAGUCGUGAGGCGGAGCUAAUCCCUUAAAGCCAUUCUCAGUUCGGAUUGUAGGCUGAAACUCGCCUACAUGAAGCUGGAGUUACUAGUAAUCGCAGAUCAGAAUGCUGCGGUGAAUGCGUUCCCGGGUCUUGUACACACCG